UGCGCAGGCGGUUAUGUAAGACAGAUGUGAAAUCCCCGGGCUCAACCUGGGAACUGCAUUUGUGACUGCAUGGCUAGAGUACGGUAGAGGGGGAUGGAAUUCCGCGUGUAGCAGUGAAAUGCGUAGAUAUGCGGAGGAACACCGAUGGCGAAGGCAAUCCCCUGGACCUGUACUGACGCUCAUGCACGAAAGCGUGGGGAGCAAACA
rnacentral:rRNA from 1 species